rnacentral:rRNA from 1 species
ACCAUGUCGAAUAAAGUUCUAGAUGGGUUAUGAUGAUGACAUUUCCUAUCUAUGUGUCUUGACCAAAUUACGUGCCAGCAGUCGCGGUAAUACGUAGAAGACUAGUGUUAUUCAUCUUUAAUAGGUUUAAAGGGUACCUAGACGGUAAAUCAAGUCUGAAAAAGAUACUAAUUUACUAGAGUUUAAUGUGAGGGGGCACUAAAGUACUGAUAAGUGUAGAGAUGAAAUUCUGUGAUACAAUAUACGGCACUGGUAAAGGCGAAAGCAUCUCAUUAUGUAAUAACUGACGUUGAGGGACGAAGGCUAGGUGUAGCAAAAAGGAUUAGAUACCCAAGUAGUCUUAGCAGAAAAUUAUGAAUGUCAUAGGAUGGAAUAAUAAACAAAAAUUUUUUUUCUAUAAAUGAAAGUGUAAGCAUUCCACCUCGAGAGUAAUUUGGCAACAUUGGAACUGAAAUCAUUAGACCGUUUCUGAAACAAGUAGUGAAGUAUGUUGUUUAAUUUGAUAGUCCGCAAAAAACCUUACCACAAUUUGAAUAGAAAAUUUUCUUUCAUCCAAGCGCUGCACGGUUGUCUUCAGUUAAUGUCGUGAGA